UACGUAGGGUCCGAGCGUUGUCCGGAUUUACUGGGCGUAAAGAGCUCGUAGGCGGUUCCGUAAGUCAGAUGUGAAAACUCAGGGCUCAACCCGGAGACGCCAUCUGAUACUGCGGUGACUGGAGUCUGGUAGGGGAACACGGAACUCCUGGUGUAGCGGUGAAAUGCGCAGAUAUCAGGAGGAACACCGAUGGCGAAGGCAGUGUUCUGGGCCAGUACUGACGCUGAGGAGCGAAAGCGUGGGGAGCAAACAGG
rnacentral:rRNA from 1 species